rnacentral:rRNA from 1 species
CACGUAGGGCGCAAGCGUUGUCCGGAAUUAUUGGGCGUAAAGAGCUUGUAGGCGGCCUGUUGCGUCCGCUGUGAAAGCCCGGGGCUUAACCCCGGGUCUGCAGUGGAUACGGGCAGGCUAGAGGUAGGUAGGGGAGAAUGGAAUUCCCGGUGUAGCGGUGAAAUGCGCAGAUAUCGGGAGGAACACCGGUGGCGAAGGCGGUUCUCUGGGCCUGUUCUGACGCUGAGGAGCGAAAGCGUGGGGAGCGAACAGG